rnacentral:rRNA from 1 species
UACGUAGGGUGCAAGCGUUAAUCGGAAUUACUGGGCGUAAAGCGUGCGCAGGCGGUUUUGUAAGUCUGUCGUGAAAUCCCCGGGCUCAACCUGGGAAUUGCGAUGGAGACUGCAAGGCUAGAAUCUGGCAGAGGGGGGUAGAAUUCCACGUGUGAGCAGUGAAAUGCGUAGAGAUGUGGAGGAACACCGAUGGCGAAGGCAGCCCCCUGGGUCAAGAUUGACGCUCAUGCACGAAGCGUGGGGAGCCAAACGAAGGAUACGAAACCCGGGUAGUCAGAACCGAA